rnacentral:rRNA from 1 species
AUUGAACGCUGGCGGCAGGCCUAACACAUGCAAGUCGAACGAGUGGCGGACGGGUGAGUCAUGUCUGGGAAACUGCCUGAUGGAGGGGGAUAACUACUGGAAACGGUAGUUAAUACCGCAUACCAUCAGCUGGGCCCAGAUGGGAUUAGCUUGUGGGUGGGGUAAAGGCUCACCAAGGCGACGAUCUCUAGCUGGUCUGAGAGGAUGACCAGCCACACUGGAACUGAGACAAGGUCCAGACUCCGACGGGAGGCAGCAGUGGGGAAUAUUGCACAAUGGGCGCAAGCCUGAUGCAGCAAUGCCGCGUGUAUGAAGAAGGCCUUCGGGUUGUAAAGUACUUUCAGCGGGGAGGCGUUACCCGCAGAAGAAGCACCGGCUAACUCCGUGCCAGCAGCCGCGGUAAUUC